GCAUCCGUAGUUCAGGGGUAGAAUUCGAGCUUCCCAAGUCAUUCAUUUGAUCCAGCCUGCUCGAGGCACGGGUUCGAGUCCCGUCGGAUGCA